rnacentral:rRNA from 1 species
AGCAGUAGCCGCGGGAACACGUAGGGUGCAAGCGUUAAUCGGAAUUACUGGGCGUAAAGCGUGCGCAGGCGGUUAUAUAAGUCAGAUGUGAAAUCCCCGGGCCCAACCUGGGACCUGCAUUUGUGACUGUAUAGCUAGAGUACGGUAGAGGGGGAUGGAAUUCCGCGUGUAGCAGUGAAAUGCGUAGAUAUGCGGAGGAACACCGAUGGCGAAGGCAAUCCCCUGGACCUGUACUGACGUUCAUGCACGAAAGCGUGGGGAGCAAACAGGAUUAGAUACCCCAGUAGUCCCUGUCUCUUAUAC